rnacentral:sRNA from 1 species
UAGAUUUUGUGCCAUAUGUUCGUAUCUC